ACGAGAGCACUUAAGUGCAGACCCUCGCCACAACAUUUAUUUUAAAGUAAAGACUUCAUAACUGUGUGCAUAGUAUAAUGACUUAUAGUUAUUAUACAGGAAUUCAGUAAAGUCAGUGGGUCAGAGAAAGAAUUGAUAUUUGUAUACAUACAUAAUUGCACUAUUAUGUUUUGACUUAUUAUAUUUUUUUUAUUAUGUAAAAGAGAAAAUAAAAAACAAUUUAUCGGGCAAGAUGUUAGUGCGGCAUGUUUCUUCUUCAAUGCAUGCAGAAGUUGCACUUCAAGGUUCUAGAUUAGAUAAAAGUUUAAUUCAAU